rfam:Pseudomonas sp. M47T1 contig019, whole genome shotgun sequence.
CCGGGGUGCGGGUCUUCUUCAACCCGCACCUUGGUGACAACCAAAGCGUGACCCAUAAGGUCGUCGCUUUUAAUUUUGAAGUAAUGAGACCAGCAGGGGCAUCCGGGCUGGUACCCGGACUACUUGCGUGAUACUCGGUGGCUUGUUGUAGUCGCUGCACUCGGACUUAUUCAAGCUUGCUGUGGCGUCAACGCCGGUGGAGUCCCCAAACGAGGGUGACCA